rnacentral:rRNA from 1 species
CCUACGGGAGGCAGCAGUUAGGAAUCUUGCACAAUGGGCGAAAGCCCGAUGCAGCAACGCCGCGUGGACGAUGAAGGCCUUCGGGUCGUAAAGUCCUUUUCAGAGGGAAGAAACGGACGGUACCUCUGGAAUAAGCCUCGGCUAACUACGUGCCAGCAGCCGCGGUAAUACGUAGGAGGCGAGCGUUAUCCGGAUUUACUGGGCGUAAAGAGCGCGUAGGUGGUCUCGUAAGUUGGGCGUGAAAGCCCCCGGCUUAACCGGGGAGGGCCGUUCAAUACUGCGAGACUUGAGGGCGGAAGAAGAGACUGGAAUUCCCGGUGUAGUGGUGAAAUACGUAGAUAUCGGGAGGAACACCAGUGGCGAAGGCGAGUCUCUAGGCCGUUCCUGACACUGAGGCGCGAAAGCGUGGGGAGCGAAGGGGAUUAGAUCCCCCUGUAGU